UAGGGAAUCUUCCACAAUGGGCGCAAGCCUGAUGGAGCAACACCGCGUGAGUGAAGAAGGGUUUCGGCUCGUAAAGCUCUGUUGUUAAGGAAGAACACGUAUGAGAGUAACUGUUCAUACGUUGACGGUAUUUAACCAGAAAGUCACGGCUAACUACGUGCCAG
rnacentral:rRNA from 1 species